GGUUUGCGCCACCAGCAUUCGGCCGCUCCCUGCUAGGGACGCUACUUUGUGUAUAUUUGCGAGAUAGUAGUAGUUAGGCCCCGAAGGUUUUGAGAAAUCGGCCCAUUUUGCUGCCGAGUGAAGUUGUUGUACAGUUGUGCGCUGGUGCUCGUGCGUCGGGCUUGUGUCUGGGCGGUGCGGUGGACAGUGAAGGUGGCGGUAAUCCAGGCGUAGGGCCAUCGUAAACGUCGCGGACCGCCGGCCCGGACUACGAACGAUUCGGAGUUUUACCGAUUACGCAGAAGAAGGCAGCGGCCGCAGCUGUAGUAGCAGCCAAGGGAACCAGUGAGCAGCAGCAGCAGCAGUAGUGGUGUUACACAGAGAGGCAAGAUGGACAGACAAAUCGCGGAAAGCCGACUCUGACCGAAGGUAGAGGACCUACAACAACCGCUCAAUCGCCGAUGGUUGCGAAUAGUCACCAGAUGAACGGCGGAGGUGGUGGCGGUGGAGGGGCGUACGUAAACGGUACCAGCGAAGAGGUUGGCGGCCAGACCACACUUGGCCUAAUCGCCGCCCCGGCAGGAACACACUACUACUACUACCACCAGCAGAAUUCAUCGCCGCAAGUUCGUUAUCCGCAGGCCAUCCCACAGGCGAUGUACGGUCACCCUAUGGCACUUCAGGUCCCACAGGGUCCGGGCGGCCACGCCGGUCAGGAACUCGGUCCACACGCCGUUGCUGGACAACCCGGAAUGGCGGGUCUCGCUGGUAUGGCGGGACCCCAGCAAGCGCAAGAGUUGUCAAAGACUAAUCUUUACAUUAAAGGACUUACGCAGAACACGACUGAUCGCGACUUGUAUAACCUCUGUCUCCCUUAUGGCACGAUAAUCUCAACCAAAGCGAUCCUCGACAAGGACACACAAAAAUGUAAGGGGUACGGAUUCGUGGACUUUAAUACGGCGGCUGAAGCCGAAAGCGCGGUUAAAGCUCUGCUGUCGCAAGGGAUCCAGGCACAGAUGGCUAAGGUGUCGUCCUCGCAGAGCCUGAACAGCCAGAUCGAGCCGGAUCCCACAAACCUGUACAUAGCCAACCUGCCGGCGCACAUGUCCGAGACGGACCUGGAGAACAUGCUGUCGAAGCAUGGCAGCGUCAUCUCGACCCGCAUUCUCCGCGACGCGAACAUGCAAAGCCGAGGUGUAGGCUUCGCGCGGAUGGAGAGCAAGGAAAAGUGCGAGCACAUCAUCCAUCUCUUCAACGGAAAGACGCUGCACGGCAGCACCGAGGGCCUGCUCGUCAAGUUCGCUGACGGCGGUAACAAAAAGAGGCUUCAGCAGCAGCAAGCGAUGCAAGGCGGGUACGGACACGGGCCAAUGGGAGGCCAUGGUGGCCAUGUGGGCCACCACAGCCAACAUAAUGGAAGCGGGCCUGGUCACGAAGGAGGGGCGAAAGGUUCUGGCCAUCACGGAGGACACCACGGGGGUCAAAUGGUCCACCAUAAUGGAGGUGGCCCAGCCUCAGGUCAGCAGGGGGAGCACGGACACGCCGGCCACCACGGGGCUCACGGCGGUCACGGAGCCCACGGAGGCCGUGGCCAGUGGGCCCCGCGCGCCGCCGACGAGGCCGCCGCACUGUACGGCGCUGAUGGACUUGUGUCGCAGCACUCGCCCAUUGGGCUAGUGCAAACGACGGGCUUCCAUGUUUCCCCCCAGGCUAGGGCGCCCUACGGGACGCCCCAUCCUCAGCUGGCCGGGGGCGCUCUCCAGCUUGGCGGUGCCCUUCAGUAUAUGCAAGCAAAUGGAAUCUACACAGGCGAUCCCGCACUCCUGGGGGCGUACAUGGCUGGUCAACAGCAACCGCCGGCGCCAGCUCAGUACAUUAUCCACUCGGGUCCUGCGCCCCACUCAGGACCACACGGUCCGCACGGACCACAUGCGAGUGCCCAUCCACAUAGUUUCGGGCCGGCCACCCUCGAUGGAGCAACACUCUAUGCCGCCCACGUUGGUCUCGGCCCCGCCGGCCAACUGGCGCAGCAAAUGCAGCAGCUGAGUCUGCAAGCGCCGCCUCACGCGCCGGGCCCGCAGCAUCACCUCGUCCAGCACUACAAUGCCGCCGCGGCCACUGCUGCUGCAGCUGCCGCCGGCUCAUAUAUGACUGCGGCGAUGUUGCCGUCUCUGCCGGCGGCAGCGACAAACGGUACCGAUGUGGGGCCCGCAUCGGUUGAUUCAGGUGUUGGGGCUGAUCCCCAGCAAGACGCCCAGCAGCAACAACAGGUGUUUCAGUCAUCCUCAGGGAGUCAGUCUUCGAACCAGUAUCCGGCGGCUAGCUCCACAGGCAACGGCACUUCAAAUGCAGCAGGCGGACAGGGUGGCAAUGCGGGAGGAGGGCAGGGAGCGCAGGCACAGAAGUGAACAGAGUUACCCUUUGAUCUGUUCUACCCUUGUGCCCCCAAACCACAACGCGAAACGAAUGUUUCAGUUACAACAAUAACGAUAAAGACAACCAAUUACACAACAGCAACAAGAGUAACAACAACCACAACAACGCAGCAAAACUAAAAACAACAAAGCAGCACAGCUAUGAUAUGGUAUCAAUAACAGGCAGAGAGAGAAGCAACAAGAAAGAUAGAACAACCGUAACGAAGAGAUGGGCGGUGAUUACAAAAACAGAGAAUAUAGACAUGGGAAAUCGACAGUUAUUAUUGGUUCAAAUAAAACUCACGACGAGAAUAUAUUAAUACGAUUAAAGCUGGAAUCUUGUGGUACAUGACAACCAUACUGGCGUUUUCUUUGUGACAAUGUCAGUAUGGACCAAUAUACACCUUUCUAGAAUAUGACUUCAUGUCAUACCUCACAAAAAAUAUAUACGAAUAAUGUAACUGGAAACAGUAGUGAUGACAUUGACAGGAACAAGAACAACAAGCAUAUUUGCAGCAAUCACAACAACAGGAACAGCGACACUCAACAGUAACAACAAGAAAAAGUAACAUAAUAAGAGCAGCAAAAUAAAAAUUACUCAAACUCUCUGUCGAUUUGAUGAAUAAUUGGUGAUUGGGAUGAAAAGUGAGUGCGAGUGAAAAAAAAUAAUAACAGCAAGCUGUGUGAAAGUGCGUGCGUGCAUGUGUAAAAUGGAACAGAUGAUCGACGAUGCCGUCAGGAGAAGCAAAAAAUGGAGCAAGUACCGAAGGGCUUCAGGGGGGCUGUCUGCGCGGCGGAGCGGGGAUUGCCCGGGGUCUAAUUGGCCAAAAUGGUAUCGAACCCUAUGGGACAACACCCCAACAGGAAUCGUGAGAACAAUGGUCCAUCACUAAAAAUAAUGAAUAUGAAAAUAACGGGAUGGAUAUAGGAUUUACCCAGGUGAAGCUCGAGCCUAUCUGACGAGAUGGCGGGUCGCUGAGGUGUGGAAAAUACAAAGAAAGUUAGUAAUUUUGGUGAUAAAAUGGCAAGCAGAUUGUGGCAGCAGCUAGAAUUAGAAAAAGGAACACAGGAAUUUUGACCUGAAUAAUACUAAAAACGACAGAUGACAGAAAGCAUUUCGCACAGAGUGGAACGAACAAGAUCAAGAUAGAUCGCGCAAGGUGGAAAAACUUCCUGAUACAGGUUUUGACUUGGUAGACGCAGCCUACGAGUAACGUUCUCAAGGACGAUGUGGGAAGGGAUGAAGGAUGGAAAUGGCUGGUUGACGCUUGCCGCGAUCCUGAAGGGUAAGAAGCACGUAUGGAGACGGCGAAUUUAAUAACCCAGCAGCUGGGCAUAUUUGUUCCCAUGACGACUAUGCAGGUGACGAAGCAAAAUAAAAGAAGAAGCUAGGUGGGCGAUAGUGGCGGACAAGGUGAAUACCGCAAGAAAACAGGAUUUGUUAAACAAACGCCUAACAGGUGGUGAUGAUGUACUAAGCAGAUUUUAACGAAGAUAGAGGAGAAGGUUUAGAAGUGUCGAGGAGUGCAAGCUUCUCAAUAUUGUGCACCUGUGAUUGCGCCCCGCGCAGAUUUGCUAUCCCGCUGCUCCUUCUUAGUAGGUUAGUAGGUUUAGGAGAAAAAUGAAGAUAAUAAUGAUGAGCGUAUUGAGAUGAUUAUGAAGACGAUGAUGAUAUCGAUGGUAACGAUGAAUAGACAGUGGACUAAAGAAGGAGAGAAUGUGUCGAAAGAAAGAUAAUUUAAGAAGAAGAAAACGUAAUGAACGAUUGCAGCGUUGACAUGUGAUUAUGCUACGUCGUAAUCAGCAUAGAGGUAAAUGAGUUGACCGUUUCUCCCGGGUGUCCUCCGGUGGCUAUUUGCGUAUCUCAUCACGUGGUAGUUGUACGAGGUAAUUUAAAGAAAUUAUUUUUAAUGAUCUGCUUUGUUGUUAUUUUAUCUUUGUAAUGCAGUAAGAGAUAAAUAACUAAAUUAUCAAGAACUGUGAAUUUCGGCAUUCUCGCCCAACUACCUCUUGUAGAAACUGUUUUAGCCUGCAAUGAGUGCAAUGAGGGCCAGGGGGUAACUUGCUCUGGAAAUCCAAGCAGCCACACUCCUCCGGGGCGAACGUUUUCCUUUGUGGGUUUAUUAAACAGAAGGAGGAGCGGGAGGUAGGUUUCGUUUCCUGACACUGAAAAACGUAACGGCAAGGCAAAUAAAAACAGCAUAACGCAAGAAGGUGCCGAAAAGACAGGUUGAAGUUUGGCUCGACUAUACCGUUGCUUGGCCACCGGAAGCCAUCUCUCGGAAAAGUCAGGUUUGAAUCCGAUUGUGCGCGUGAAACAAAAACAUGCAGAGUAUUUGAGAUGAUGACGCAUUGACAAACCGAGUAACUGCGUAAAAAGAAAAGAUGAGAAUGUAUGAAAGUAAGGGAGCGAAUGUGUGAAUGCAUGAAAGAGUAAAAGAUUAAGUCAUUGGUCACAUACACACGAAAGCCGUCCUUAAGUCGAGAUGGUCAUCUCUCCGAGGAACUACGGCAUCAUGUGGUACGUGGUGAACACUGAACACAUUAUGGUCGACAUCAUACAGAUAUAAAGAAAUAAUGAAUAACGGCCUACAACAUCGACAACAACUUCAGCAACAACAGUUAUAAUAAAACUGAAGACAACGUAACACAUUUACAUCGAGAUCGACAAGAAAGUGUGUGCGUUUUUCUAAGCAAAAUAUACGAAUACAAAAUCUACACACAGAUGAUCCACAGUUACAUACUAAAAACGAAGGAAAGAAAACGAUACAGGGAUAAACAUGAGAGGUAUACGAGCGAACAGAGGGAAAAGAUCACACUGACCUGUGCUGCCCCGCCCACCAACCGGCUAAAAUAGACGAAACGAAGAAGCAUCAUAGAAAAAUACAAACGCAUAACGCCAACAAAGAGUGCAGAAAACCGGACAAACAGGAAAAAGUGCUGAGGAAAAAUUCUAAAAAAAAAAAAAAAGACAAAACCGAUGAUCGCCUGAUGAUCGACUGAUGAGAUGCGACUUACUACCACCACUAUUACUACCGAUUGAUGCGGCGCGAAAACAGCACACAAAGCGGCUGGCCCGCUCACAAACACUGCAUGGCACUCCUUCGAGUAACGCCCACGCAACGAAGUGAUUACACGACGGACAAGUGUGUGCCGGAUAUCACGAACAACAGUUGUCAUGCAGUGCGAUCGAGCAGUCCAGUGGCAAUGUAUGCCUCGACGGCGGGAGUUGUGUACAAACGAUGGUCAACACGAACUUCCAUAAAACACCUCCCUCCGCCCUGGUUCAGACACUUUCAGCCACUUUCGUCGCUACCUUCUGUCUUGCCCCCCAGCAGCAGGAUACCUUUCCCGCAGCAAACUCAGCAACAAAAACAGAGCAGUGCCUCCUAAUAACAUGAGAUGAUUAAUGAUAAUGAUGAAUAAUAAUGAUGAUGAUACUAAUAAAAAGAUGAAGAAAAAGGGUAAUAAUAAUAAUGAAAGAUAAUGAUAACAAUAAUCGUAAUAAUGCUGACGAUGAAACUGAUGAACCGAUGACAAAGAUUAUGACGACGAUAAUAGUAAUGGUAAUAAUAAUGCUGAUCAUGAUGCUAACGCUGAUGAUGCCUCCCUCUUGAUAGUGACUGACUGAUUGACGAUGAUCACGGCGAUAAUAAUGAUGACAAUGUUGAUGAUGGUUUUGAAUUAUUAUAACAAUAAAGAUGAUCAAAAGAUGGUUAGUACUAAUAGGGGGCACGCAGCAGCGGUGUUAACAGAAAUAACUUUUUGCCGCCUCUCCAAGAAAGCCAGAGAGUAACAAACCAUUAUGUCACCUAGAGUCAUAAAAGCGAAUUAAGUACGACGAUAGUAAUUGAUUAUUGCGUCAUUAGUGGCGUCGAUCAUUUAUGGGCAAACUUUAUGACGAUUAAGCCAUAGCACAGCACCCAAGGGAUUGAAUUGACGAAUUCAUUCAUAGACACAGACCAACAGUCUCGAAUUAUCACAACUAUAUCAACACGCAACGAUAUAACAACACUCGUAUACACAGACACACUUUCCGAGAAAGAGUUGACUUUUACCGCUAACCGCUCUUAAUUUUCUGGAAUUGAUGAGGAAAGGGGAAACCCAAAUUUUUGCGUAGCUACCAGAACCACAUGCGUAGUGUCUGGCAAAUACAAGUGCAGACCUUCGACAUACAUACACAUUAUUAUUACUAUUUAAAAAAGAUGUGGUUUUGUAGUGGUUGGGUGGGCGGUGGCAGAUUGAUUUCAAAUAUUCCUUCUCAUCGGGCGGGUAAACAAUAAAAAUGAUCCGGUCAGACACUUCAAACUACAACAAAGACGCAAACCUUCAUCGGGACAGAGGAGAUCCGAAAACAAGGAAAGAAAGAUAACAACAGGAACAUCAGAAAAAACACCGAUAACAACAAUUUUAAGUUUGCCUGUUCGCUUUUAGUUCUAGGUAGCUAUAAAUAAAGAGAAAAGAAAGAUUGAAAGUAGGGUAGGAACGGACAGGAAAGAUGAUAAUGAAGAUAAUGAUGAUUUUGCUGAAGAGAAUAAUAAAGAAGAUGACGAUGAUAAUAGUAAGAAGAAUAAUAAUAACGACGAUGUCGAUGACAAAAUGUGCGAGGCGGGAUGUAGUAGGUGUAGUAAUAAUUAUAGAGGGAGUGUGACACUCACGCCAGUGUUAAAUGAAAAGAAAAUAUUGCAAAUGUGUAGCCAGCGGACGCGAUGACGUGGUGCGAUUUAGGCUAAGGAAUGACGGCGUGUUUUAGCGGAGAUUCCCACAAGGUUGCCCUGACGACCCGUUGCCAGAGAGAUCGGCAAAGAUUGGUCACCAUCGCAUUAUAUACGAGGUGGCUGGUCUGAAAAUGGGCGCGGCCUUGUUGUUGCGCGCGAAGCUCAAAGUCCUAACCCUACCCGCCCCCCGACGGCCUUUUCAUUGUUCCGCUGUCGCAGACGGUAGUAGUCAGGAACCGGCGGGCUCUGUGUGUGCGUGUGUGAUUGCGUUAAGAUUAACGUGUGCUGAACUCGGUCAGGCUGCGCGGCGGCAUGGGCAGAACGAAAGCGGCCACGGUGCAGUAUGGGGUGGUACAUCGCCUUCAUCUAAUCUUUGGUUAAUCGCAUUGUGUUGUAUCUAUUACCAUUAUAUCAGAGCAAUAAUUACUGCAAUCUUUUAACGCAGCAUUGGCAUCAGAAACAUCUGCGACGCAAAAUUUUUUCAUUGAAAUUUAUCCGUUGUUAAAUAGUAUCAUAAAUAGUAUGGAAAACGUGAAUGAAUACUUUCUACACAACAAGAGUAUUGCGCGCGGCAACAUCCGCUCCCCUGUCUUAGAUAGGUAGAUUGACGGAGAUAAACUGCGGAGGCGAAUAUAAAAAGGAUGAUGAUAACGAUUCAUUGCAGAAAAUAAAUGAAUUGAUAAUAUUGAUAAUAAUGACGAUAAUAAUGGAGAAAGUGGCUAAGACUAAGGGAUAAAGACAAAGAGAUGUAGAACUAAAGAAAAAGAUGACUGAUAGGGCUUCUGGCCACUUGUCGAUUAAGGUCAUAGUAGCAAACAGAGCGUAGUAGGAGAUGGCAAAAAAAAAAGAAAAAACAUCAUGAAAAA